rnacentral:rRNA from 1 species
AUUGAACGCUGGCGGCAGGCCUAACACAUGCAAGUCGAGCGGAUGAGCGGAGCUUGCUCCUUGAUUUAGCGGCGGACGGGUGAGUAAUGCCUAGGAAUCUGCCUGGUAGUGGGGGAUAACGUUCCGAAAGGAACGCUAAUACCGCAUACGUCCUACGGGAGAAAGCAGGGGACCUUCGGGCCUUGCGCUAUCAGAUGAGCCUAGGUCGGAUUAGCUAGUUGGUGAGGUAAUGGCUCACCAAGGCGACGAUCCGUAACUGGUCUGAGAGGAUGAUCAGUCACACUGGAACUGAGACACGGUCCAGACUCCUACGGGAGGCAGCAGUGGGGAAUAUUGGACAAUGGGCGAAAGCCUGAUCCAGCCAUGCCGCGUGUGUGAAGAAGGUCUUCGGAUUGUAAAGCACUUUAAGUUGGGAGGAAGGGCGGUAAGCUAAUACCUUGCUGUUUUGACGUUACCGACAGAAUAAGCACCGGCUAACUUCGUG